AGUGAACGCUGGCGGUAGGCCUAACACAUGCAAGUCGAACGGCAGCACAGUAAGGGCUUGCUCUUACGGGUGGCGAGUGGCGGACGGGUGAGGAAUACAUCGGAAUCUACUUUUUCGUGGGGGAUAACGUAGGGAAACUUACGCUAAUACCGCAUACGACCUACGGGUGAAAGCAGGGGAUCUUCGGACCUUGCGCGAUUGAAUGAGCCGAUGUCGGAUUAGCUAGUUGGCGGGGUAAAGGCCCACCAAGGCGACGAUCCGUAGCUGGUCUGAGAGGAUGAUCAGCCACACUGGAACUGAGACACGGUCCAGACUCCUACGGGAGGCAGCAGUGGGGAAUAUUGGACAAUGGGCGCAAGCCUGAUCCAGCCAUACCGCGUGGGUGAAGAAGGCCUUCGGGUUGUAAAGCCCUUUUGUUGGGAAAGAAAAGCAGCAUGUUAAUACCCCGCUGUUCUGACGGUACCCAAAGAAUAAGCACCGGCUAACUUCGUG
rnacentral:rRNA from 1 species